AUUGAACGCUGGCGGCAUGCUUUACACAUGCAAGUCGAACGGUAACAGGGAGCUUGCUCCGCUGCCGAGUGGCGAACGGGUGAGUAAUAUAUCGGAACGUACCCAAGAGUGGGGGAAAACGAAGCGAAAGUUACGCUAAUACCGCAUACGACCUAAGGAGGAAAGCAGGGGACCUCCGGGCCUUGUUCUCCUGGAGCGUCCGAUAUCUGAUUAGCUAGUUGGUAAGGUAAAGGCUCACCAAGGCGACGACCAGUAGCUGGUCUGAGAGGACGACCAGCCACACUGGAACUGAGACACGGUCCAGACUCCUACGGGAGGCAGCAGUGGGGAAUUUUGGACAAUGGGCGCAAGCUUGAUCCAGCAAUGCCGCGUGAGUGAAGAAGGCCUUCGGGUUGUAAAGCUCUUUUGUCAGGGAAGAAACGGGAUUGGCUAAUAUCCAGUCCUAAUGACGGUACCUGAAGAAUAAGCACCGGCUAACUACGUG
rnacentral:rRNA from 1 species